rnacentral:rRNA from 1 species
AUUGAACGCUGGCGGCAGGCCUAACACAUGCAAGUCGAACGAGUGGCGGACGGGUGAGUAAUGUCUGGGAAACUGCCUGAUGUAGGGGGAUAACUACUGGAAACGGUAGCUAAUACCGCAUACCAUCAGAUGUGCCCAGAGGGGAUUAGCUUGUUGGGGGGGUAACGGCUCACCAAGGCGACGAUCCCUAGCUGGUCUGAGAGGAUGACCAGCCACACUGGGACUGAGACACGGUCCAGACUCCUACGGGAGGCAGCAGUGGGGAAUAUUGGACAAUGGGCGAAAGCCUGACGCAGCCACGCCGCGUGUAUGAAGAAGGCCUUCGGGUUGUAAAGUACUUUCAGCGGGGAGGCGUUACCCGCAGAAGAAGCAACGGCUAACUCCGUGCCAGCAGCCGCGGUAAUUC